CUUUUGCUCAUUUGUUUUGUUUCUUAGGAAGUGGUAUAUAAAAACAAUGGAAUAUUACUCAGCCAUCGAAAAGAGUGAAAUCUUGCCAUUUGCAACGACUUGGUUGGAGUUAGAAGUUACCCAUGGUCAACCGCACUCCAAAAGCAGAUGACCCUCUUCCUGGUGAAUGGUCCGAAAGUCAAUAGCAGCCUAAAGCUAUGUCACUUCAUUUUAUCAUCUCACAUCUUCACAAGAAGGGUCUGUGGAUCCAUUAUUGAUUCUUCUUAUUUGGGACCCAAGAGCUGGAUUGGCUGUCCUAGGCAACACCCGCAGGUCUUCUCUGCUGGUGGAUAAGUAGGUCCUUCUCCUGAUAAAUCCACCUUUGGAAGAAGAUCUCCGUCAGUCUGGGGAGAGUGUGCCCACUGGCUGUAUGCGCUCAGGUAGGCAGAGAGUCUGUUCCAGGCUGUGAGUCCUUCCAAAUGCCAGAAUAAGAAAGACUUGGUUCUGAACUUGCCAACACCACCCUAUGAAUGUUGAUAUUACUCAUAGCUGACAUUUAGGCAGUGUUGUAAGUAUUGUAAACAUAAUAAUUAUUUAAUCCUCAACACAACCAUGUGCAGUAGUUAUACUAUCAUAUCCCCAUUUUACAGAAAAGGAAAGUAAGGCACACAUAGUUACAGAAUUGUUCAAGGUCACACAGCUAGUAAGAAACAGACCUGAGUUUUGAGUCCAGCCAGGCUGGCUCUGGGGCUUGUGCCCUUGACUAUUACAUAUUCUGCCUGAAGAAAAUCCAUUGAUAUUCUCAAAAGGAGAAAUCUUGGGUUUUAUGUAUUGAGGCCAUUCCAGCUUCCAGUGAGUCUCUCUCUUCCUAGAACCUCUUCUCAUUCGUGCCCCUUUUAGACCCUGCCAGCUUAAAGAUGCGCUUUCUGAGUGAUGCCAAGGACCAAGCUGCUCCUUGCUCCGCUCCACAAGUGCAGAGACUCCACUGGCCUAAUCCCCUAUUUGGCAUUAGCUCUCCACCUGCUAUCAUCAUGUUCCAUUCACCCCCACACUGCUCCACAGCUUGUCUGUCAUGACUCCUCCUUCACACUCUCAGCUUUUGUGCAUUUAUUCUCUUUUGUACAAUACUCUAAUUUUAUUAGCUUCUUAUUAAAGAAGAACCAUUCCACCGUGUUCAGUUCGCCAGAUUUUAUGAAACCAAAUUAAGCAUAAUUUUUGGCCCUUAUGUACAUAUUUAUCUGUUCAAAUGGUUUAAAACAACCUGUGCCAAUUACCACUAUGACAUUAUCAUUCUAAACUAGUAAUUAGUUUUGGUUAACCCAAGUUAGUCUAGUGAUAAAGAUGGGAAUGUAUUUUACUGUUUUCCAUACGCCUAGACUUACAUAUGUGCUUUGAUAUAUCUAAAAGCCUAGGCAUAAGAACACGUCUGAAGACAUUUGAAAUUUUAUUCUGAAAGGGUCUUAUCGUAAAAACGUAUUCAAUUUCCACUAGUUCCUUCCAUAAUUUUUGAAUACUGACUAUGGACGGAAGCACUGAGCAAGUCUUAAGGAUCUCAGACAGGAGAAAUUUGCUGCCUUUUAAAGCCCCAUAAUUUUUGUUGGAAAGCUUAAUUAUAGGUCUAUUCUCAGGUUUUAGAAGUAAGUUCUACUAAUAUAAUAAAAACUAAUAUUUUAAAGUUUAAACUUUCUUAUUAUUACUUAAAAAUGAACCAGUGAGGCUGGUUCUUAGAUACUUCAAGUCACUGAACAUUCUUUUUUCCUAUGAGAGAAGUAUCAGUAGAAUUUGAGCCAGAAACUUUACUGAAAGUCAAUGCCACCUCUUUGCAUUUAUCACUGCCAGUCUUGCUCUGCAUAUUUUUUUUCGUAUUUGCCAUGCAUUGUUAACAGUGAUUGUCAUGUAAUUAAAUCACUGCUCAUCACAAGAGCCUGUUUUUAUGCUGAGAUAAGCAUCAGAAGCCUGCUGCAGGACCCCCAGAUCAAUAAAGAUGUUCCCAGUAGGAUUACAAAGAGGCUGGGGUUGAGCAGGGCACCAGAAUUAAUUAGGAAUGAUUUCUCUUUUUCUUUCUACUUUCAAUAUACUUUUUAAUUGUUUUUCCAUUUUCAAUGGGCACUGCCCCCUCUUUUUUUUUUUUAAUUCUACACUGAUGCUCAGACACUUCUGUCCAGAGACCUGUGGAGGCUGAGCUCUUAAUGUCACCCCCUUUUUCAGUCCUAUCCUGAACUUACAUUAGUCCUGGUUAUCUCUGAGUUUCAUCAUUGUUAAAGAAACUUUGGAAGCAGAGGUGGUCUUCCAAUUUCAGAAAGCUAUUUAGACAUUAAAAUACAAGCUUUGAACUGCAGGUGGAUUUCUUGUUUGAAGCUUUGAACUGCAGGUGGAUUUCUUGUUUGAGUUGGCAUGCUCUUGAGACAAUGUGAUAGCCAGGUUUUGGAAGUAUUAGUGUAUUCUAAAAGGGAACCAAAUCCAAAUCAAAGAUGAAUUUAAAAGAAGAAGGAGAAGGAGAAGGAGAAGGAGAAGAGAAGAAGAGAAGAAGAAAGAAGAAGAGGAGAAGGAGGGGAAAGUUUUAGGUCUUCCACAACUCUGUAUGACAUCCUCUUGGUGAGUGAUAUGUAAAAGAACCAGAAAUACUAAAGCCCAUUUUUGAGACUGAAAACAUUGUAUUCUAAGUAAGGGGUGUGUCUGGGGCAGAUGGGGAUGCCAUCACAACGGAGCCCCUCUAUUCCUCACUUCAAGGAUUAUUAAAAUUCCUGGCUGUGGAAAUGGAGAGCACAAAUGAGUGAGGCCAAAGCUCCAGAAGGUGGUAUCUGUGGAGAAAGGGAGGUGAUGGUUUUCAAAGAGUAAAAGAUGACUGGAAUCUUUCUGGGACUUGAGACACAUAUUUCACAUGAUAGGAGAAAAGAAGGAAAUAAUCAAAUAUUUCAGAGCAGGAAAAAGAAAGUGAUCUAUUAGUGGUGACCCCAAAUGACCUCCUGGGAAGAUUCUAUUAUCAGGUGCCCACGGUCACAGAUGGGCCUUGACAGAGCAAUAGAGUGAUGGGGUGGGGGCUUUGAUGCUUCUUGCCCCAACUGGUCUUCAAUAAUUAAAUCAUGCAUGCAUUCAUUCUUUCAUUCAAUACACACACACUUACUGAGUGCCUACUCUUAGGAUGUGAUAGCAUUUUAAGGGGGCUAUAAUACCCCCUUUACCAUCUGAGGUCAGACCAAGAGAGAGAUGCAGGAGUCAAACAAAUGGAGAUGAAAAUACAUCUUUAUUGCUGCUAGUGAACAAGGAGGACGAGUGGGUUUCCUAAUACUAAGCCCCAGAAUUAAAUAGUCAUACCCAGCCAGACACAGAGAGUAUAGGAUACCAGAAGCCUCUCCACACAGGGGAAUUACCUGAUCCUGUAAGCCUCAGGGCAGAGAAGAGCAGAGUGAAAUGCCCACUCUGUGCAGACAGGCAGAUUACAAAGAGAAAGAGGGAAUGGCUCUGAUGGGCACGCCUCCUUCCUCCCCCCUGGGCAGGUGUGUUGAUAGAGGCGCUGGAGAAAAGUCAGGAGUGUUACUCCAACAUAGCUCUCUUUAAGGCAGUCUCUUAAGUGGUAGAUUGGGGUCAAGGACCCUUCCUCUAGACUGGAAGACAUACACAUAUAGAUUCCUGCCGGACAGGAACUGGAUAUAGUCCAGUAUGGCAACUAGAGCAAUAAAUAAGCAAUAAUAAUGUAUGUGACCAAUUUUCUUUUCCAGCAGGUGGGGCAUGUUGGACAACUUAGAAAGUAGUUGGCCCAUGGGGCGCCUGGGGGGCUCAGUCAGUUGAGCACCUGACUCUUGAUUUCAGCUCAGGUCAUGAUCUCAGGGUCAUGAGGUGAGAUUGAACCC